rnacentral:rRNA from 1 species
GUGUCAGCAGCCGCGGUAAUACGGAGGGUGCAAGCGUUGUUCGGAAUUACUGGGCGUAAAGCGCGUGUAGGCGGCUUCGUAAGUCGGGUGUGAAAUCCCGGGGCCCAACCCCGGAACUGCGCCCGAUACUGCGUCGCUCGAGUCCCGGAGAGGAUGGCGGAAUUUCCGGUGUAGAGGUGAAAUUCGUAGAUACCGGAAGGAACACCAGUGGCGAAGGCGGCCAUCUGGACGGUGACUGACGCUGAGACGCGAAAGCGUGGGGAGCAAACAGGAUUAGAUACCCCUGUAGUCC